GGAGUUGUCGUUCGUGAGAAUAAAUAAAUGAAUAGAUGGACCAGACUCAAUGAAAAGAAAGAAACCUGAGACAAUCAUCACAGAAUUUAAAGAUUUAGAAAAUCUGAACCCGAAUAUGCUCCAGGUGAUCGACCUUCGAAGCUGCUUUUGGAAAAGUUUCUAGGUUGCUGCAGAUCUUGGUUAAUGAAGUCCUAACUCCCUGCACAGGUAACCAACAGUACAGACCUAAUUCCAUCUAACUCUAGACAUCGUAGAGUGGAUCUCGCAAAACUUUGAGUUCACUGCGUCAGACUACAGUAACCAUACUGCCUUGAGAAGGAUUCAAAGAGUAGAUGUCUCUAAGACCGAAUCAAUGUUUUUCCUUGCAGAGUAUGGCCAAGGAGUUGUUUUGUAAGCUGUCACCCUCUGAUACAUUACAGGAUUGACCAGUCAGCCUAAUACAAAGGGAUGUUACUCUGUCAGUGUGGAUCCUGUUACCCUGAUCAUGCUUCAUCUUGUUUGGGUGAUACAAGUAUAGGGAACCCAGAUAGUUUGCCCCGAUCACUGGAUAUUGUUCUCGGAUGUGAUGAAUGCUUUGUUCAUGUGGCCUCUCCAUGAAACGAAAUCGAACAUGAAUCUAUGGAGGUGAAACAGAAACAUGUUGAAGAACGGGGAUUUCUUAGAAGUUUGCACAUAUCACUGUGUUUUCACAGUACUCAUUAUUCCUACAGAAACAGAGACAUCUUACAUGUAAAUUUGACUAUUUCCUUGUUCCCAGCAUAGCAGCAACUAAAUUGGAAAUCAAAAGUUAUUUUUAUGACAGUGAACAUGAUAUCUUGCUGGAAAGUAGAGGAAUGAACUUGUUCAUUGAGAUUCUGGAAACAAAAAGUUAACCACUGAGGUAUGAGGCUAUCUUUGCUGUGUGGCUUGUUGUGAAUUAUAAUUUUUUGUGUUGUAGCCCACAUGGAUUAUUACAGCAAUUAUUUAGCAAGUUUCUAAAGCAAUGUUUUGUGAUCGUUCACAGGCAUGCAUUGACAUGUCAAUCAAACUUGCUAGAUUACACAGUACUCAUGCUGACUUUUGUUUUACUGAUAUUUUGAAACUAAAAUGUAUAUGACCAUCAUAUGUGUCAAUCAGGCCUAUUGUUAAUUAAAAUAGUUACAUUUUUGGAACUGAGUUUUUUUUUAAUUAACUUGAUUAAAGCAUGCAACAGUAAACAUUCCUAAUAAAACUAUUCAAAAUGUC
rnacentral:sRNA from 1 species